AGUGAACGCUGGCGGUAGGCCUAACACAUGCAAGUCGAACGGCAGCACAGUAAGAGCUUGCUCUUACGGGUGGCGAGUGGCGGACGGGUGAGGAAUACAUCGGAAUCUACUUUUUCGUGGGGGAUAACGUAGGGAAACUUACGCUAAUACCGCAUACGACCUACGGGUGAAAGCAGGGGAUCUUCGGACCUUGCGCGAUUGAAUGAGCCGAUGUCGGAUUAGCUAGUUGGCGGGGUAAAGGCCCACCAAGGCGACGAUCCGUAGCUGGUCUGAGAGGAUGAUCAGCCACACUGGAACUGAGACACGGUCCGGACUCCUACGGGAGGCAGCAGUGGGGAAUAUUGGACAAUGGGCGCAAGCCUGAUCCAGCCAUACCGCGUGGGUGAAGAAGGCCUUCGGGUUGUAAAACCCUUUUGUUGGGAAAGAAAAGCAGCAGGUUAAUACCCCGCUGUUCUGACGGUACCCAAAGAAUAAGCACCGACUAACUUCGUG
rnacentral:rRNA from 1 species